rnacentral:rRNA from 1 species
GUGCAGCCGCCGCGGUAAUACCGGCAGCCCGAGUGAUGGCCGAUAUUAUUGGGCCUAAAGCGUCCGUAGCUGGCUGAACAAGUCCGUCGGGAAAUCCACGUGCUUAACACGUGGGCGACCGGCGGAAACUGUUCGGCUUGGGGCCGGAGGACCCGAGGGGUACGUCCGGGGUAGGAGUGAAAUCCCAUAAUCCUGGACGGACCGCCGGUGGCGAAAGCGCCUCGAGAGGACGGACCCGACGGUGAGGAACGAAAGCCAGGGUCUCGAACCGGAUUAGAAACCCCUGUAGUCC